rnacentral:tRNA from 1 species
GCGGGUGUGGUGGAAUUGGCAGACACGCUAGACUUAGGAUCUAGUGCCGCAAGGCGUGGGGGGGUUCGACUCCCUUCACCCGCA